AUGAUUAACUGUCUGUCGAGCUUGCUCACAGACUUAUCAUAUCCAUAACACCUGUGCACUUGUCGGAUGGCUUAGUGAAGACCGCAAGGUUGGAUCUAUCCAUCUACUUUACAUAACAAUCUAGUAACAAAUGUAGUCUUAUUAUAACAUAAUA
rnacentral:misc_RNA from 1 species